CAGGCCGCUGCUCCCAGCCUGCCGCCUCACGUGCUCCAAUAAAUCAACCCCCACAAUGCCACUCGUCAGUGCUGCUUCUGCCCGAUUUCCUCUCACUGUGUCUCUCGUCUGUCCCUCCCUCCUCCCUCUCUGUCUCUCUUUCUGCACGCCCUCCCUCCCUCUCUCCCCUACAGUAUGUCUGUCUUCAGAUGGUACGUGCUGGAGACACAUGUCACCCCCAGUUGCUUCUGGGCAGGACUACGCUGCAGUCUGCUGUUCUGGGAGUGUAAUGCUGAAACAUCGCCCAGGCAAAAGCACAAAUCUUAAAUGUGAAUGUUUGGCCCCGUGCUUCUGUGAAAAACAGCAGUCCUAGUUUUUUGUACCUGCAAAUGUUCUGUGAAAGACCGUGAGAUGCGGUCGAAAAUGGUGGCGCUCAUGUCCCGUCCCCUGUUCUAUUCAUAACACCUGAGCACUGGGGCCCAAAACACUUGACAACACAUGGUUAGAAAGCUGAGCUUGUGAGUUUACAAAGGCGCUGUGUGAGAUCUACAAAGGUGUUGUGUGUACACAUAAAAGAUGCAUGAGGUUGACAAGGAGCCAUGGUUCAUUUAGAUGGAAUGUGCUCUGGGAGUGUGAUGUGACUUAUCCAUGAGUCAACUCUUACUAAACAACAGAAGCACUACCAGCUGAUAGGAAUUCCCUCCCGAGGCAGACAAAUGAAUCGUGUGAUGACCCAGUGACAGGAUUGUCAGUUUUGGAAGGAUAACCUGAAUGAUUGUUUCCUCACAGUAACAGGUUUUAACAGAACUGGGUGUCAUGGAAGAUAAUAUCAAGAUAUUAAUUGCUUUUGUCUGAGUUUAGGAUAGAUACACCAAGUAUUGACAUUUGCACAGAAAAGCUGGCUUCAAUAAAUCAUGUGAUUUGUAGCAAAGGCAACAUUUUAACUGUCUUGUGAGAAACUUGUUUAGAAAUGAAUAAGUAAUGUUCCAGUGUUUAAAAUAAACUGAACAUGUUAUAGUUAAUGAAAUCUGCUAAACAGACUUCUAAACAUUUGCACUUUGCAUGUUUCUUCUAUCAUAUGUCCUUUGUUUUUUUUCUGCGAAAUUGCCUGCAGUGCUCAUGAUCAAUUUUUUUAAUGUUUAGUUUUUCAACAUAUAUGUUAUUAUCAAGUCACAGAAUAUGCAAGAACAAGUCUGGGAAUCAAAUAUACAAGCUUUGUUUUAUAGAGAGCAGGUCUCACAUGAAAUGUACUGUAAAGAUGUUACAUAUAAGAUUGUGUAACAGUUAUUUCAAUUGACUCAAUGCUGUGGACAAAACUCCAUUUAAAAUAUAUAAACUUCAUCGUAGAAGGGGUAUGAAGCAUACAGCGUGUUUUUUUUUCUUUAUAAAAAAUGUAAUUUCUGAUUAUUACUGUAGACCAGGUAUGGGAAACUUCAGACCUCAAAUUUGGAUUUCUGUGAACUUUAAAGGUUUUUUAAAUUAACUAUUGACUAAGGCCUGAAAUACAGGUGGCAUUCAAUGUAUUCAAAUAUUUUCUUUCAUUAAUGUAAGUAAUUAGAAUCAGAGGUGGAGUGAAAACAUAAAGAACCUUAAAAACUCAAGUAGUGUGGUUUCCUAUCCACAUAUCCUUGAUGUGGACUCUCUGUGUUCAU
rnacentral:lncRNA from 1 species